CCUACGGGGGGCAGCAGUGGGGAAUAUUGGACAAUGGGCGAAAGCCUGAUCCAGCCAUGCCGCGUGUGUGAAGAAGGCCUUCGGGUUGUAAAGCACUUUCAGUGGGGAAGAAAGCCUUGGGGCUAAUACCCUCGAGGAAGGACAUCACCCACAGAAGAAGCACCGGCUAACUCCGUGCCAGCGGCCGCGGUAAUACGGAGGGUGCGAGCGUUAAUCGGAAUUACUGGGCGUAAAGCGCGCGUAGGCGGUCUGAUAAGCCGGUUGUGAAAGCCCCGGGCUCAACCUGGGAACGGCAUCCGGAACUGUCAGGCUAGAGUGCAGGAGAGGAAGGUAGAAUUCCCGGUGUAGCAGUGAAAUGCGUAGAGAUCGGGAGGAAUACCAGUGGCGAAGGCGGCCUUCUGGACUGACACUGACGCUGAGGUGCGAAAGCGUGGGUAGCAAACAGGAUUAGAUACCCGGGUAGUC
rnacentral:rRNA from 1 species